rnacentral:rRNA from 1 species
GACGAGGGAUCCUAGCGUUGCUCGGAACCAUUGGGCGUAAAGCGGGUGUAGGUGGUUAACUAAGUCAGGAGUGAAAGCCCUAGGCUCAACCUGGGAAGUGCUUUUGAAACUGGUUAACUUGAGUGUGGAAGAGGAUAGUAGAAUUCCUGGUGUAGUGGUGAAAUACGUAGAUAUCAGGAGGAAUUCCAGUGGGGAAGCCGGCUAUCUGGUCCAACACUGGCACUCAGACCCGAAAGCGUGGGGAGCAAACAGG